ACAUGCCUACAACAUAGCGUUAAUGCACCAGAUCCCAUCAGAACUCCUCAUUUAAGCAUGCUCAUCCUAGAUUAGUACUGGGAUGGGUGAUUGACCGCCUGAGAAGUCCUAGUGUUUUACAUGCC
rnacentral:rRNA from 1 species